ensembl:lncRNA
AUCUAAUGCAUGCAGGGCUUAAAACCUAGAUGAUGGGUUGAUGGAUGCAGCAAAGCACCAUGGCACAUGGCACUAUGUAACAAACCUGCACGUUCUGCACAUGUAUCCCAGAACUUAAAAUAAUAAUAAUAAAAAAGAAUAGCCCGUUUGAUGCAGAUCCCUGGGUGCCAGACCAGAGGUUUAUGAUCCAGCAUGUCUUGGGUUCAGGCCAGGAACCUGAAUCUUCAACAAGCUCCCCCGGUGAAGCUGAUGCAGAUUGUCGAAGGAACACAAACGCUGUGCUGAAGUGUUCCCAGAGGGUGAAUCACAAACCAUCUUCCUGAGUGACCUGACAGUGACUGAGUCAGAUGAGCCAGGGCACUGAGUCCUCCUUCGGAGAGGAUUGGGUCCAGCACACCCAGCCCCCUCUUUCCCACCAUGCUGGAGGGAUAGAAUGAUCAUUUUUGCACACUACGUAGGGCACAGCCUCCUCGCUAGGAAAAGUGGUUCUCUUUUCCUCCUCUUUUUGGUGAAGAGGGAAAUAUGUUAGCCUCCGGGACGGAUCAGACAGCUUGGGAAGAAGGGUUGUCAGCUGAGCAGAGAAAGUGCAGCAUUUCACAAACCUGUGACAGUUUCUCUCAAGUUUUACUUGGUGAUGCUUCUCUGCAGGGGAGUUUAACUUUCUUCCUCAAAAGGUUUUGCAAAAUAUUGAGAAAACAUGUCUUUGAAGAUUUAAUGCUAUAAACUUGGCAUCUCUGAAUAAAGACUUCAGUACCUCUUCCUGCCCAAGGUCACUUUUCAGCCCAAGGUGGACCUAUUUAAAUACAUCUACAGCACCUAGCACACAAAAGAAUCAAGGUAAGUGCUCCUGUGCAAUUAGUUCACCUUUCCAGUUGCUAACAUUCUCUAAUUUGUUAAACAUGAUGACUCUCUCUUCAAUGAUUAAUGCUAGAGACAUAAUACCAAUUCUUUGAUUCUUCUUUUGCAAUUUAGUAUUGACCAAAACUUUUCAAUGCUUAUUUUUAUACCAUGUAUAGAGUUUCCAAGAUACAGCUUGUCUCAUGUGUUGCAUUUUAUUAUCUCAUUGUUUUCUUAGAAAAGACUUGCACAUGAAUUGUACUUAGAACUUCCAUAAUUUACAAUGUAGCGUGUAUAUUCUAUAGAGAACUUCUAUAGAUAAUUAACCCCACCUUGUGUUCUCUCCCUCCCCUUCCUUCCUUUCUUCUUCCAUCAGUUCUCUAGCUUUCAUUUUAGGAGUGGCACUAGAAUUCUGUCUCAGAUUUGCAGAAUGGGGUGGGCUGGGAUUAAAGCUGUUUUAGUUUCAGAACCCGUAUCCCUCUAUAAACUAGAAAAUUGGCAAAAUUAUAAACACUGUUAUACUUUUUAUUAAUAAUGAUACCUUCCUGGGUAAACUAGCGCACAUACUGAACUACAGAAGUAGAAAAUUCUACUGGAAUUUUAGCUAUCAUUUGCAUUAAUUGUUAAGGAUUAUUUAUAGAUUCUUCAAAGCAAAAUAAAACAGACUUUCCAAAAUUUGCCUGCAGAGCAAUGGACAUAAAACAUGAAUUCAAAUAAUUCACCACCUCUGGGCCAAGCUUCUGCAGAGCCAGUAUGUAGAUGGUCACUCCAAUGAACACUCUGGUUACUUAUUGAAAUCAAGAAUCUUUUCUGUUCUAUCAGGGAAUGCAGUACCAAAUCCAAGGUUAGCACUGGACCUCAUUUUGGGGGUAGAGGUUAAGUAAUGCAAAGCACCCACAGAAUGGCCAGAGGCCAAGGGCAGGGCUUGUGACUCCAGAACACGCUAGCAUCAGCACAAGGUGAGAUUAAGUUUUUAAAGGGCCAUUAAAAGUAUUAAUUAUUAAAAGUGGUAAAAGUGGGGAAAUAUAAAGAGAAGUUUCAAGGAUGACCAGUGAAAAUCCUGUUUUAAAGGACUUGCUGAGCAAACAGCCUAUCUUGGAAAGAAGGUGUAGGAAAAGUUAAAAGAAACACAUUUGAGACUUUUUGUGAAAGUGUUUAACUGUUUGUUUCUAAAAUGGUAACAUUAAAAAUGGCUGAAUCUUGACUUGAAUGACUUUUUUUAUUUUUAUUUUUUGAGAUGGAGUCUUGCUGUCCCCCAGGCUGGAGUGCCAUGGCAUGAUCUUGGCUCACUGCAACCUCUGCCUCCCGAGUUCAAGCGAUUCUCCUGCCUCAGCCUCCCCAGUGGCUGGGAUUACAGGCACAUGCCACCAUGUCCAGCUAAUUUUUUGUAUUUUUCUUAGAGACAGGGUUUCACCAUGUUGGCCAGGCUGUUCUUGAACUCCUGACCUCAAGUGAUCCACCUGCCUCAGCCUCCCAAAGUGCUGGGAUUAUAGGCGUGAGCUACUGUGCCUGGCCAACCUGAAUGACUUUUAACAAGAAGAAUAAACAUAUGCAAAUAAAAUGUCUGGAAGGGCAUACACCAAAAUAGUAAUUGUAGUUGGUCCCUGAGAGGUAAUACUAUUGCAUUUUUUUUUUUUUUUUUUUUUUUGGAAACAGAGUUUCACUGUGUUGCUUAGGCUGGAGUGCAGCAGCACGAUCUCAGCUCACUGCAACCUCCGCCUCCCAGGUUCAAGCGAUUCUUCUGCCUCAGCCUCCUAAGUAGCUGAGAUUUCAGGCACCCACCAUCACACCCGGCUAAUUUUUUAUGUUUUUAGUAGAGACAGGGUUUUGCCAUAUUGCCCACGCUGGUCUCGAACUCCUGAGCUCAGGCAAUCCACCCUCCUUGGCCUCCCAAAGUGCUAGGAUUACAGGCGUGAGGCACCGCGCCCAGCCAAUCUUUUUCUUUAUACAUUUUUGUAUUGCCUAUUUUUUCUCCAUAAGCACACAC